AUGAUAAUUAGUUUAAGCCAAAAACAAAUGAUUUCGAC
rnacentral:tRNA from 1 species